CAGCACCUCAAGUGGUCAGGAUGAUUAUUGGGCCUAAAGCAUCCGUAGCCGGCGCUGUAAGUUUUCGGUUAAAUCUGUACGCUCAACGUACAGGCUGCCGGGAAUACUGCAGAGCUAGGGAGUGGGAGAGGUAGACGGUACUCGGUAGGAAGGGGUAAAAUCCUUUGAUCUAUUGAUGACCACCUGUGGCGAAGGCGGUCUACCAGAACACGUCCGACGGUGAGGGAUGAAAGCUGGGGGAGCAAACCGGAUUAGAUACCCGAGUAGUCC
rnacentral:rRNA from 1 species